GAAUUAAACAAAAAACUUUUUUUCAAUAAAAAAUUUUCAUUGCAGAGUUUCUCAUCUCCAUAGUCAGGAGCAGGGUAUCCAGCAGAUUGUAGAUAUAUCAAGUUGUAAGAAUAUUACAGUUCUUUACCUUUACGGGAACAAAAUAACAGAAAUACAAAAUCUAGAAUCAGCUCCUCUAAUCCAGCUCCUGUAUCUACAGAAUAAUAAAAUUACAAGAAUCCAAGG